rnacentral:rRNA from 1 species
GAACUAGCAUAUCAAUAAGCGGAGGAAAAGAAACUAACAAGGAUUCCCCUAGUAACUGCGAGUGAAGCGGGAAAAGCUCAAAUUUAAAAUCUGGUGGUCUUUGGCCAUCCGAGUUGUAAUUUAGAGAAGCGUCUUCCGCGCUGGACCGUGCACAAGUCUCCUGGAAUGGAGCGUCGUAGAGGGUGAGAAUCCCGUCUUUGGCACGGACGCACCAGGGCUUCUGUGAUGCGCUCUCGAAGAGUCGAGUUGUUUGGGAAUGCAGCUCAAAAUGGGUGGUGAACUCCAUCUAAAGCUAAAUAUUGGCGAGAGACCGAUAGCGAACAAGUACCGUGAGGGAAAGAUGAAAAGCACUUUGGAAAGAGAGUGAAACAGUACGUGAAAUUGUUGAAAGGGAAACGCUUGAAGUCAGUCGCGUCGCCCGAGACUCAGCCUCGCCUCGGCUUGGUGUACUUCUCGGCCGACGGGUCAGCAUCAAUUUCGCCCCUUGGAUAAUGGCGAGGGAAAUGUGGCACCUUCACGGGUGUGUUAUAGUCUCUCGUCGCAUGCAAGGGUCGGGAUUGAGGAACUCAGCACGCGCCUUUCGGCGUCGGGGUUCGCCCACGAUACGUGCUUAGGAUGUUGGCGUAAUGGCUUUAAACGACCCGUCUUGAAACACGGACCAAGGAGUCUAACAUGCCCGCGAGUGUUCGGGUGGAAAACCCGUGCGCGCAAUGAAAGUGAAAGUUGGGACCUCUGUCGUGGAGGGCACCAACGCCCGGACCAGACCUUCUGUGACGGAUCUGCGGUAGAGCGUGUAUGUUAGGACCCGAAAGAUGGUGAACUAUGCCUGAAUAGGGUGAAGCCAGAGGAAACUCUGGUGGAGGCUCGUAGCGAUUCUGACGUGCAAAUCGAUCGUCAAAUUUGGGUAUAGGGGCGAAAGACUAAUCGACCAUCUAGUAGCUGGUUCCUGCCGAGUUUC